AACGCACCUUGCGCCCUUUGGCAUUCCGAGGGGCACACCCGUUUGAGUGUCGUGACAUCCUCAAAACCUUCUUGGUUUCUUGACCAGGAAGGCUUUUGGACUUUGGAGGCUUUUGCUGGCCUUCCUUUGUUGGAGCCAGCUCCUCUGAAAUGAAUUAGUGGGGUCUGCUUUGCCGAUCCUUGACGUGAUAAGAUGUUUUCUACGUCUUGGGUUUCGCACUGUUCCCUGCUUCUAACUGUCUCAUAGAAGACAAUGGUCAAGUGAUCGCCACUUGACCCACAAACCUUGACCUCAAAUCGGGUGAGACUACCCGCUGAACUUAA
rnacentral:misc_RNA from 1 species